UUCUAUCAAGUAGCUUCUUUACUUUUCGAAUCAUUUCUGCUGUGACGUCGGGCUUCGCUGUCAGUAUCACUGUAACGGGCGAAGGUACGACACACAAAAGAUUCACAGCCAGUUCCACGAUAUCGAAAGAACACGUUCGCACAACUUUUACACGACAAACAGCUGAUUUCCGUUCCACUAAAAUCUAUCAGAACGAAAAUUUGCACGAAAAUCAAAGCGAACGAAAACGUAAGCAUUUCAGUGUAAUUUUGCGUUCCACUAUCUUUUUUCUUUCGUACGCAUGCGAACACAAAUGUCAAAAUCAGUCACUUGUGUGUUUGCUAUCGUAUAAUAACAAUUAAGGAAAAUUGUUUUAACAUAAACAUUGCUUGAUUGAAAAUGGAAACAAAAAUCACGAAAAAAUCAUCAACUACACAGCUGCGGGCACUAGUUGAGUAAAUGGAGGAGAAUCCUGUGUUCGCCAGAGGAAUGCCAAUUUUUGGAAGCAGCAGAAGAAGUUUUAAAUCGGGGCGGAUUUGGGUAGUUCUGCAACCGGGCACCCACUUCUCUUCCAUCAUAUCCAAAAGAGCCCGAAAACUUCCUUCGACACACGAAAGUUGGCCACAAACCUAGAAAAAAUCAUUUUUUAUUAUUUCAAAAAUGUAAAAAUACAAUCAUACUUACUGGUUGUUAGGUACUUCAAAUAAAUUCGAAGCAUCUCUUAAA